GUCUCUAGUAGCAUGAAGCCACACCUUCCAGAGAGUGCUACUACAAGGCAGCCUUAUUGCAAAACCGUCAGCAGUGGUGCCCUCCCAGCUGAAGAGCACAGGGGAGGUGAGCAGGCCUGCUGGAGAGCUGAGACCUCAGGCCCAUUCAUUUUUUCGUUUGCCUUCCUCAUGCAUAAAGGCCAUGUACCCCCGCCCUCAGGGGGCUCACAGACAAGAGAGGCAAAGCAUCAACAGAAACCUAGCAGGCCACCAAACGCAAGGAAAACACGGACAACCCUAAGCGGCAGAGGAAUUGAUAACGCCAACUUAGAAAUCAGAAAACGGAGGUCCACGAGGUUAGCCAUCAGACAGAUGCACAGAACAAAAGAUUCCAAGCGUGGGGGAGCACAUCAAAUGGGAAAUGAGGCAGCUCCCCCCAGGCCUCCAUCAGUCCUGCUGGGGACAAGUGACCCGGAGAGGGCUUAGAGCUCCUGUCCCUUCGGAGUUUGAACGUGAGCCACACUGAGUCCCAAUAACCCCCACCCAGCACACGAGGGCUCAGCCAAGGCUGAGGACACAGUCUCCUCAGCCACCCAGGGGUGCCAUCCCUUAUCCCGUGGAUCUUUUUAAUAAGAUUAUAAAGAGGGACAUCUGGGUGGCUCAGCGGUUAAGCACCUGCCUUCAGCUCAGAGUGUGAUCCCGGGGUCCUGGGAUCCAGUCCCACAUUGGGCUCCACGCAGGGAGCCUGCUUCUCUCUCUGCCUGUAUCUCUGUCUCUCAGUGUGUGUCUCUCUCAUGAAUAAAUAAAUAAAAUCUUUUUAAAAAAUUCUUUUAAAAAAAUAAGAUUAUACAGAUAUAAUAAGUUUUAGAAUAAACCUCUAUGAAC